rnacentral:tRNA from 1 species
GCGAUCAUAGUUUAGUGGUAGAACGAUUCGUUGCCAACGAGUAGGUUCGGGUCCGAUUCCCGAUGAUCGCA